rnacentral:rRNA from 1 species
AUUGAACGCUGGCGGCAGGCCUAACACAUGCAAGUCGAACGAGUGGCGGACGGGUGAGUAAUGUCUGGGAAACUGCCCGAUGGAGGGGGAUAACUACUGGAAACGGUGGCUAAUACCGCAUACCAUCGGAUGUACCCAUAUGGGAUUAGCUAGUAGGUGGGGUAAAGGCUCACCUAGGCGACGAUCCCUAGCUGGUCUGAGAGGAUGAUCAGCCACACUGGGACUGAGACACGGUCCAGACUCCUACGGGAGGCAGCAGUGGGGAAUAUUGCACAAUGGGCGCAAGCCUGAUGCAGCCAUGCCGCGUGUAUGAAGAAGGCCUUCGGGUUGUAAAGUACUUUCAGCGAGGAGGCGUUACUCGCAGAAGAAGCACCGGCUAACUCCGUGCCAGCAGCCGCGGUAAUAC